rnacentral:misc_RNA from 1 species
GAAAUGCGAUAAGUAAUGUGAAUUGCAGAAUUCAGUGAAUCAUCGAAUCUUUGAACGCACCUUGCGCUCCUUGGUAUUCCUUGGAGCAUGCCUGUUUGAGUAUCAUGAAAUCUUCAAAGUAAAUCUUUUGUUAACUCAAUUGGUUUCUACUUUGGUAUUGGAGGUCUUUGCAGCUUCACACCUGCUCCUCUUUGUUCAUUAGCUGGAUCUCAGUGUUAUGCUUGGUUCCACUCGGCGUGAUAAGUUAUCUAUCGCUGAGGACACUGUAAAAGGUGGCCAAGGUAAAUGCAGAUGAACCGCUUCUAAUAGUCCAUUGACUUGGACAUACUUUUAUGAUCUGAUCUCAAAUCAGGUAGGACUACCCGCUGAACUUAAGC